UGUCAAGAAAAACAUUAAAAAGAACAAAGCUUAUAUUGAGUGUCAUUGUAUCAGUUAGUUCGGAUCAGUCAUGUAAAUAAAUUUGUAAUAGAUCUAGACUAAAAAGUAUAAACUUGCGCGAUUUGAAACAUCUUUACGAAUUGUUUUUGUGUAGCGCUAUUUGAUGUUUUAGCUUUCUCACUCCACUAUGAUCCUAUCACUUGCCUAGACCAUUUGGGAAAGCGAGGAAGGGGAGACAUAAAGGAUAUCUUGUGAAUAUCGUGAUCGCUUUUUAAGUGCAUUUUAUCUUAUUAUUUUUUUUUGCUGUAUGACUUGACUUCGAACUCAAUCGAUCAAACUUUCUCAAGCCAAUACACUAACCACUGUGCCAGCGAAGUGCUUAUGAAAUUUUUAUUGUUAUCUAUUGUGAAUUUAAAACUUUUAGGGGGACGACCUGACACUAAGUAUAAAUAAGACUAAUUCAGCUUAUACCACCAUAUCAGCCAGGUACAAGAAAUUAUUCCGCAAAAUUUCAACUUCAUCCGAGAUUAGGUGUAGGAGAUAAAACGUGUACAAACUUUUUACCAGACAGAGUGAGUUGAUAGAAGCUUGGUCGAAAUGCAUAUAGUCCAAUAAACCACUUCAAGCACAUUCAAGAUUGCUUCUUAAGCAAACAGUGAACAUUAUGUGAGCCGUGUUAUAUAUCGAAGUGGUUAUCAUUAUAUGAGCCAUGUCAUUUAUCGAUGUGGUGAUCAUUAUAUGAGUCAUGUUAUUUAUCGAUGUGGUGAUCAUUAUGUGAGCCAUGUCAUUUAUCGAUGUGGUUAUUAUGUGAGCCAUGUCAUUUAUCGAUGUGGUGAUCAUUAUGUGAGCCAUGUCAUUUAUCGAAGUGGUGAUCAUUAUGUGAGCCAUGUCAUUUAUCGAAGCGGUGAUCAUUAUGUGAGCCAUGUCAUUUAUCGAAGCGGUGAUCAUUGUGUGAGCCAUGUCAUUUAUCGAAGCGGUGAUCAUUAUGUAAGCCAUGUCAUUUAUCGAAGUGGUGAUCAUUAUGUGAGCCAUGUCAUUUAUCGAAGUGGUGAUCAUUAUGUGAGCCAUGUCAUAUAUAGAAGUGGUGAUCAUUAUGUGAGCCAUGUCAUAUAUCGAAGCGGUGAUCAUUAUGUGAGCCAUGUCAUUUAUCGAAGUGGUGAUCAUUAUGUGAGCCAUGUCAUAUAUCGAAGUGGUGAUCAUUAUGUGAGCCAUGUCAUAUAUCGAAGCGGUGAUCAUUAUGUGAGCCAUGUCAUUUAUCGAAGUGGUGAUCAUUAUGUGAGCCAUGUCAUUUAUCGAAGCGGUGAUCAUUAUGUGAGCCAUGUCAUUUAUCGAAGUGGUGAUCAUUAUGUGAGCCAUGUCAUUUAUCGAAGUGGUGAUCAUUAUGUGAGCCAUGUCAUAUAUCGAAGCGGUGAUCAUUAUGUGAGCCAUGUCAUUUAUCGAAGUGGUGAUCAUUAUGUGAGCCAUGUCGUUUAUUGAAACAGUGAACAGGACAUAUAAACACGUCUGAAAUAGCUGUGAGAUGAGUGUUCUAUUUGCAUAGUGAGAGAGAGAGAGAGAGAUAACAGGUUGCAUUGUUUGGCCUUGUCGACACUGUAUUUAGUACAGAAUAAUUGUUUGUCUAUGAGUGUGUGCAGGUACAUGUGCGAGUAUGUGAGGGAGAUGUGUGUGUGUGUGUGUGUGUAGAUGUGUGAACAUGAUGUGUUCGUACUUUUCAUUCUGAACAUUUGACCUUUCUUAUCGCUUUCUCCGUCUGUUUGUGUGUUUGUCAUGAGUAACACACAGGUUCAAAAUUUGCUGAUAUCCUCUUUUCAUUUGGGGUAUCUGUGAAUCUGUCCCCAACCUCACACCCCAGUCAAAAAUAUUUGCUACGAAAAUAAAACGACUUUGAUAACAAGUAUUACAAACUUUGAGAAAUAAGUGUAUUAAAAUGUUUGUUUACGUUUUUGCAUACGAUCUACUGUCUCAGACUCAUAAGACAGACCAUGGGCUCUAACGUUGUAUGUUAUAUUGUAUAUAAUGUCCUUUAUUUGGGAAUGGCUGGGCAUCUCUUGGUGGUGUUUGUUUUCUCUAUUCCUAGGUCUGUCAUUUUUUAAAAUUGACUUACGUUGUAUACAUUCUAUGCUAGUCCAUUCUGGAUAUAUAUAAAAACUGGAGUUCAAAAUAAAGAGCUUGUUAUAAA